ensembl:lncRNA
UCUGUUGGGGCGGGGCGCAAAGCAAUGAGAUGGAGGGGGGGAGGGGAACGAGCGGGGCGGGGUUUGAGCGGUAUGGGGUGGGGGGGUACUGGGGGGGAGUAAUGGGGGUCUAUGGGGGGAUAUGGGGGGUUAUGGGGGGAUAUGGGGGUAUAUGGGGGGCAUAUGGGGUUAUAGGGGGGUAUGGGGGUAUAUGGGGAGGUUAAUGGGGUGGGGAGCGGGGAUGUGGAACGGUAGGGGGGGUGGGGUGAGGGAUGGGGGGGUUUUAUAGUGGCCCCCCCCCCCCGGUGCUGGCUAUGGGCUGUAACCUUGCUGAUGGGGGCUAGUGGUUCGUUUAUGUCAAUAGGGCCGGUGUUAGUCUAUGGGCUUGUUUGUGUUGCUAUGGGGUCUGUGCGCUAUGGGGCCGUAGUGUGUCUAAUUGCUAACUGGCCGGGCAGUGUUGGUUAAUAUUUUUUUUUUUCUUCUUUUUUUUUUUUUUUUCUUUUUUUUCCUUUUUUUUUUUUUUUCCUUUUUUUUUUUUUUUUUUUUUUUGUCUUUUUUUUUUCUUUCUUUUUUUUUUUUUUUUUUUUUUCUGUUUUUUCUUUAUUUUUUCUUUUUGGGUUGGUGUUGGCCUAUAGGGCAGCCUGUUCCAUGCUAUGGGGCUGUGUUAUGCUAUGGGGCUGUGUUAUGCUAUGGGGCUGUGUUAUGCUAUGGGGCUGUGUUAUGCUAUGGGGCUGUGUUAUGCUGUAGGGCUGUGUUGGCUAUAGGGCUGUGUUGGCUAUAGGGCUGUGUUAUGCUAUGGGGCAGGCUGUGCUAUGGGGCAGGCUGUGCUAUGGGGCAGGCUGUGCUAUGGGGCAGGCUGGCUAUGGGGCAGUGUUAUCUAUGGGGCAGUGUUAUCUAUGGGGCAGAUCUAUGGGGCAGUGUCUAUCUAUGGGGCAGGAUCUAUGGGGCAGGAUCUAUGGGGCAGUGAUCUAUGGGGCUGUUCUCUAACCCGGGGGUCCCGCAGAGCUGCCGUUCCCCGCCGUCGCGCUGCCCCCCCCCGGAAUCCAGCUCUGAGCAACCCCCCCCCCCCCCCCAGCACCGGCCAUGGAGCCCCCCGGGGACACAGGGCCGGAGGGGCCGUUGGAGCCAUGCGGGGAGCUCCGUGCUGCGGGGCUGGAUGCGGCGGCGCGGGAGAGGCAGCUGCAGCGGGAGCUGCUGGCCCUGAAGCAGCAGCAGCAGCUCCAGAAGCAGCUGCUGUUCGCUGAGUUCCAGAAGCAGCACGAGCAUCUGACACGGCAGCACGAGGUGCAGCUGCAGAAGCACCUCAAGGUGGGGCCGGGGUUAAGGGGGGGAUCGGGGGGGUUGUUAUGGGGUGAUGGAGCCGUGGGGAAUUGAGUGUUGUGGGGUGAUGGAGCCAUGGGGUAUNGCUGCAGAAGCACCUCAAGGUGGGGCCGGGGUUAAAGGGGUGGGGGUGGGGGAGGGUGUGGGGUGAUGGAGCUGUGGGGUAUUGAGUGUUGUGGGGUGAUGGAGCCAUGGGGUAUGGCUCAUUAUGGGGUGAUGGAGAUGUAGGGUGAUGAUUUGUUAUGGGUCGAUGGAGCUGUGGGGUGAUGGAGUCAUGGGGUAUGGAUUAUUGUGGGUGAUGGAGUUGUGAGGUAUGGCUCGUUAUGGGGUAAUAGAGCUGUGGGUUAUGGCUUGUUAUAGGGUGAUGGAGCCAUGGGGUAUGGCUUGUUGUAGGGUGAUGGAGCUGUAGGGUAUUGAGUGUUAUGGGGUGAUGGAGCCAUGGGGUAUGGCUCGUUAUGGGGUGAUGGAGCUAUGGGGUGAUGGAGCCGUGGGGUAUGGCUCAUUAUGGGGUGAUGGAGAUGUGGGUUAUGACCCGUUAUAGGGUGAUGGAGCUGUGGGAUAUGGCUUGUUAUGGGGUGAUGGAGCUAUGGGGUGAUGGAGCCGUGGGGUAUGGCUCAUUAUGGGGUGACGGAGCCGUGGGGCAUGGCUUGUUGUUGGGUGAUGGAGCUAUGGGGUGAUGGAGCUGUGGAGUAUGGCUCGUUGUGGGGUGAUGGAGCUAUGGGGUGAUAGAGCCAUGGGGUGUGACUCGUUAUGGGGUGAUGGAGCUGUAGGGUGUUGAUUUGAUAUGGGGUGAUGGAGCCAUGCUGUAUGGCUUGUUAUGGGGUGAUGGAGUUGUGGGGUGAUGGAGCUGUGGGGUACUGAGUGUUGGGGGGUGAUGGAGCUGAGGUAUAUGGCUUGUUAUGGGGUGACGGAGCUAUAGGGUGA